CAUAUAUCGAAGAGAAAAAAGAAACAAUGAGGGAUAGAAUUUUGCUGGCUCUCCUUUGGUAGAACUUCGUUGUCUUCUUGAAAACAAAACUAUAUUCAUCACUAAAGCCGUAGGAGAAGACAAUGUCAGGAUACUCUUCUAAAACAGAGAUUGCGCAAGCAUUCAUCAAAUUCAAGGCUUUCUCAUCAUUUGGUCUCUCAAAUUCAUGAACUUCGG
rnacentral:misc_RNA from 1 species